CUUUACAUAUUCUGCCCCAGUAGGUCUCAGGUUUUAUUUGUGUUUAUCACAGGAUGCUUGUGCUCCCACUCUUCUUUUCACUACCUCCAGAAAAUCCCACAGUCAUCCUUUCUUCCUAACACAAUAAGUCAUUGCAACACUUCCCUGCUGCACAGCAUGAAUGGGCCACACAGAGUGCACAAGGUGAGCCCAGCACAUCAGAGACACGAGGAAGAAGAUGCUGAAGGCGUGCAAAGUGGACGGGUGAUGGAGCAUCUUUGCCUGCACCGGCUGGGAAUACCAGGAUCUGCAAGGUCCCUUCAACCUACUGAUAAGUGAUGAAGCCCUGACAUUUAGUCUCGCUUUUCAAGACAAUUGAUUUCAGUUAUCACACAUGGCUUGACCGGGUGGAGUAGUGCUGUGGUUGCCAUGGUAACUCCAUUGUUCACGCGGCGUGACGUGACGUCAGGGCACAGAGGCGCGGAAGCGGACGGUGCUAGCUGGCGCGCGCGCCGUGGGACAGAUUUCAAAGUGCAAGAAAACAAAACAAAAAAGAAGAGAACAAUCAGAUGGUAGCUGCACGGCUUACAGUAAGAAGAUAAUACAUACCCACCUGUUUCAUAUCCAAAUGUAAAGGGGAAAAAAUAGGGAAACAUAAUCAUGUUGUAUUAGGUAAAUUAUUCUGUAUAUUUAUAAUUAGGUAUAAACAACACUUUUAAAUUGCAUGGCUUUCUAAGCACUUAGAAAGAGACCCCAUUAUUAUAAGAGGACAUUAUUGCCAAAAACACAUAUUUACUUGUUUUACAAGCAUUUUUUGUCACCCAUUUAAUGGAACAAUAUUACAUAAUUUCAGA